rnacentral:lncRNA from 1 species
AUGGCGCCGGCCUCCGGUACACCGUCGCUGUAAACAAUGCCACUGCGCAGGCGCUAGCCCGAAUCUGGCGCCAACCCCUCCAGAGCGGGUGCAUACAAAUCAAAGUGCCAGCAGACUGACCAAUCCCAGGAGGACACAUAGCUCUCCCCAGUGCUGGGGUGUAUAUAAGCAGUCUUCCCUGGGUUUCCUGGGUUCCCGUAGCAUCAAGGCGUUCCAGAAAUAAAGCUGUUGAGAAGAAUCGCAUGUUGCGUUUUUUCUUGCUGGACGAGGUGAGCGCAACAUUCUAUUAUCAUUGUGUGUGCAUAAUCAGGCAAGGGAGAGGCACGUUCUUCCACUUUGAAUUUUCCUGGAACAAAAAUUUGAAAAACUUUAAAGAGUCAAGAAAGAAAGAAAUAGGCUGGCCUACUCAGAGGUAGGGUCCUUGGCCCAGAGUAUGUACAGUGCUGGGUUCUACCCCUAACACUGACAAAAGCAAAACAAAUAUGGAAUCAACAAACAAGAAUAAAGGGAUGAAGAAGAAAAAGAAAGCAACUAGUAACUCAAACCAGAAACCUUUGUCUAUUAUGACCUGGCAUCUCCACCAAGAAAGCAGCAGCUUGAACUUGGUUCUUGUGUGACUCUUGAUCAGGUCACUGCAUCUGAACAGCUCCAUGGUUUAAUAUUUCGUGAAGAACAGUAUGUGACCCGAUGAGCCGCUGUGAAGAUUAGUAAACAGAGUGUUCAUGAACGCUGCUAGGGUGUUUGAAACGCUGAGGCAGUGAAGAACCUUUUGUGAGAAGGGGCAAGGCCUAUCUUUGGAAUUCAUCCACUUUCUGGAAACAGUGACUUUCUCGAAUGGCAGGAAACCCAGGAUUGGCGGCUCCUUCCUGGAUCCAACCUGAGACACUCAGAGAUGGAGCCCACGGCGCCUCAUGGCUGAUGUUCCAGAAGAUGGAAUUAUCUCUAGUAGCAAUACCAGGAGCAUGGAAGCCCCUCUGUGACCUGUUGACAGACACCAUGUUUUGCAUAAUAUAUAUAUUUUCAUUUUCCCUUAGCUUUCUUAUUAUUUAUUCAAUAAAUCCUUUUGGGAGACUCUCUGCUUGUCUGCAAUCAGCUCCAUGAGGGAUAUGUCUGAAAGGUGUGAUGACCGUGGGAUGAAAGUUUCCUUCUGUAGUCCAAAAGCACCAGUGGGCUCCUAGGCAUUCUGCUGAUUGCAAGGAACAGAGAAGGCCAUGAUAGGAGCAAACAGGAAAACAUGCACAGAUCUCCUAAGGAGGCUUCUGGGCACGUGUUUUUGCUUACUGCCUAAUGUGGUUCUAAUAACACAAACAUUCCAGCGAAGCAAUGACGACACAGCGAGAGCUACAGAUAUUAGAGGCCCACGCAAUGGAAGCGUUUGGGGGAAAGAACAGCGAAUGCGUCUCUGACAUUUUCUUGUUACUGUCUUGGUAUGACUCCUCCUGGCCUGCAUUAACAGAAGAAGAAACACAGACCGAGCAAAAGUGAACGAGAGGGAUUUGAGGACAGCAUUCCUCGGAAUACCCCAAAGUAUCCUUGCUUCGGAGGCGGUUCUGCCUUUCUAAAUGCAUGUGUGUGGA